GUUUUGCUCCCAUCAAUAACUCUCUCUCACAAACUUGCAGAAGGCAAACAGCACUGCACGGGAGGCAGCUCAAUAGAAUUUGAAGGUAUUGAUGUUACCAGGUAUAAAUGAACACUGCUUUCUCCUUGGUUCCUUAUCUUUGGCUGAAGAGGUAUCUGACCCGCCUGCACUGCAAGUAUACUGCUGACUACAGCACUCCCGGCUUCCAUCAGGUGGUCACAGAUCAACAGAUACCUUGUCACAGACCACAGCAGAGUUACUAGGAGAAGCGAGAAGCUUCUUGACCACAUCUGCAGUCAGUUUCCUGAAAAGCUCAAAGCAAAGGAACUGAGAAGGAAAGAGACUGAAGGACAGGACAGGACAGGACGGGCUGGGACAGGCUCUGCUUUCCUACCUUGGACAGCUCCCCAGCACCACUUCCGCGGGCAGAACAGGAAAACAGUGGCACACGGUCGACGUUGACCACUACAGGUAAUAAUUAGAGGGGUUCGAUGAGCAGAGGAAACAGACACAAGUGAAGAGGAGGGUGUCGUAUUGCUCCUCACUUCAGAGCUUAGACACCUGGAUUCUGAUUACUGCCUCAAUUAACUAAUUGCUGUAAGCAAGGCCACAAUACCCAGGAGAAAGCAUGACAAGAAAAAGCAAAGAAAUGGAACACUGUGGAGAAAGGAGUUUGGAAAUAGACGAGGUGAAGGUAAAUAAAAGAGGGUGAGAAGAUUAAAAUGGAAGAGUGAAAAAGCUGGAUGAGAAAAAAGGAUGAGGGAGGACAGAGAAGGAAGAAAAAAAAAUAGGUAGGGGGAGUGAACAAGACAUGAAGGCAGAAGAAAAGAAAGACAACGCAUGUAGAAAAAUGGAGUGAUAGAACUAGGAUAAUUAAAUAGCAAGAACAAUUGGGAAGUGAUACAGAAGAGAUAUAAACAGGAGACACACAAGCAUGUGGAAAGCAUGAAAUAAAGGGAAACACAGAAAAGUGUAGCAAGAAAAGGACACAUGCUGUAGUGAUACCUGCUUCCAAGGCUUCACAUCUGUUUUAAGUACCUUCUUCAAAUUUCCAAACCAUACAUCUAUCUCCCAAGACAUAUCAAUACUCACUGGUUCAGCAACCAAUCCAUUAACGAAUUAAUGUAUACACUUUGAUCCCUGUGAAGGUGCUAAUACCUUCCAUCCUCUUAAGAGCGGUCAUAAUCUUCACACCACUGAUUAAAAAUGUAGCAUCUUAACCUGGUUUAAUUAUGAUGAUAGGUGCAGUUAUUGCUCUAAAUUUUGCUUUUGCACCAUAAAUAAACUUGCUGAUCAUAUUUAAGAGUCAUAAACAAUUUCCAUCUGGUAUCCAAGAUAGUGAUAUGUUCAUCUGCAUAUUCAUCAAGUGGCAUGCAUGUAAAUAAGAAAGUUUUGUUGAUUGCUUGCCUUACUUCCUCUACAGAGAAAUUCUUAACCAUUAGGAUCUUCUAAUACGAGGUCAGACUAUCUGAACUUAAUUCCAAUGGGAAUGAAGGGAAACAGUCCCACACUCUUAUUUAACUGCUAUCAAUUAAAUGUAAAAUUUCACAUAAAAAUGGUAAUCUUUUCUAUAGCCAAAGGGGUGUAUUAGAUGCAGAAAAAAAAAUAGAAAUAAAUUAUUGCCAUUAGAGAGUUAGAUGAGCCCAUUCAAAAAACGGUAAAAUGAAGUAUCAAGCAGUAAUAAAAAUAUCAACUUCUUCAUAUAUUUCCCCUCUUUUUAGGCAUGUAAUUUGUCAUUGGUCACAGUUCCCUGUUUGUCAUUAGAAUUUGCAUCUGGAAAGCAUUCUGCCAGGGCAGGAAGGCAAAUAAUAGUAAUGAAAAAUUCAUGAAAAUUGCAUACUACCAAAUACAUGCUGAUAUUGAUGUUCUGUUAUCAGAGUCCUUUAAAUCCCAAACAAAUAAAUCCCUCAAUCAACAUAAAUGGACUCUUGGGGAAGAUAAAGCAAACUUCACUAUUGUAUAUUUGAAUUAAUUUGGAAUUAAGAAAAUAUUUGUAAAGCCUUUGCUUCUUUCAAAAUCCAACAGUUUGCUUUUUUCAUUUUAUAUAGAUUAAAUAUACAAACAAUUCUAUUUCAGUGAAGUUGAAGAGCAAUGCUGAAAAUUCUGCAGGGUGAUAUCCAUUUGUCCAUGGUGGGAAUGGAGAUGCUUGCAUUACUUCUGAUACCUAAUUAAGAUGCACGCUAAUUUGAGAUUCCAGUAUUUAAAAUGCUGUGAGAUUUUUUAAAGUACUAUUUCACCGCAGGAAGGGCCUGCUUUUCAGGGAUUUACAAGUAUUUGGACGAAAUAAGUUUUGUAGCUCAAUAACACUUUUUACCAAAAAAAACCACCAAGGGCUCUAUCAACCUACAAUGAUCUGUUGCAUCAGGCAAUGCACUGUUCCUUGCUUCACAGUAACAUGACAGCUGACUUGGACACUCUGUCCAUGGCAGCCAUUUGAUUAUUUUCUUCCAUAUUUUUCAAAAGUAGCUUCUAACCUGUUGUAGAUUCUGGCAAUGGCCACUGAAAUUUGCAGGGCUGCACAUCCCACCUUCCAAAUCAAUUCGGAUGAGCUUGGCAAUGUAUCUAUCCUCCUCCCACCGCUAAUGCCGUGCGUUUGGUAAAAUGGGUACGCCUUACACUUCCUUGUGAUAGAACUCCUUGAUAUCAAAAGACUUCAGGUCCAAGUUCCAAAAUCACUUACUGCAUGCAAGCCCUACUAAACUGGAUGAGAAAUCAGGCAGAAGGGAGUUUACAUUCCGCAGGCUGAAGCCUCCAGCAGGCCUGUCAGCUUGGAUGAGGCAUUCAUUCAUUCAGAUUCAUCAAAGCUGUAACCUCCAUUUUACUCCCACCACUCACUAGAAAUAAAAUAAUGGCUGAAUGGCCUGAAAAUAAAGAAUUCUUACUGUUUUAAGGGACCAUUCAUGGGGAAUAAUUGAAUUUCUUCUAGAAAUUCACUGCAGAACAAGAUUCUGGUAACAGAAAGCAACAGAAAAAGAAUCAGAAACAUCUCUAUAACACGUCUGUUUCUUUCAGGCACCUGUCAGCACUUUAAAUCUGGAUGUGUUUGUUGUCGCACUACAGAACAUUCCUGGAUGUAGACAUUGCUCUUAUUUGAAACUCAAUUGUGUAUAUCUCCGAUCAAUUUAAGUUCCAUUCUAGAUCUGGUGGGAAUAGAAUUAUGGCUUCUUGCUUUUUCAUCUGUUCCCAUUUGGAUACAGAUAUACCAAAGAUGGCUGGAGAGUCCCCUCUAA